UUAAUACUCCCUUCGUCCCAAAAUCCUUAUCUUAGAUUUGUCUAUAUAUGAAUGUAUCUAUUCAUGUUUUAGUAUUUUGAUACAUUCAUUUCUAAACAAACCUAAGACAAGAAUUUUGGGACGAAGGGGGUAUACA
rfam:Hordeum vulgare subsp. vulgare, WGS project CAJW01000000 data, contig: morex_contig_85200